ACGCUCGACACCUACGGGAGCAGCAGUGGGGAAUAUUGCACAAUGGAGGAAACUCUGAUGCAGCGAUGCCGCGUGAGGGAAGAAGGUUUUCGGAUUGUAAACCUCUGUCUUUGGGGACGAUAAUGACGGUACCCAAGGAGGAAGCUCCGGCUAACUACGUGCCAGNGCGCGGUAGUAUNGNGGCGNGNGAGNG
rnacentral:rRNA from 1 species